UACGUAGGGUGCGAGCGUUGUCCGGAAUUAUUGGGCGUAAAGGGCUCGUAGGCGGUUUGUCACGUCGGGAGUGAAAACUCGGGGCUUAACCCCGAGCCUGCUUCCGAUACGGGCUGACUAGAGGUAUGCAGGGGAGAACGGAAUUCCUGGUGUAGCGGUGAAAUGUGCAGAUAUCAGGAGGAACACCGGUGGCGAAGGCGGUUCUCUGGGCAUUACCUGACGCUGAGGAGCGAAAGUGUGGGGAGCGAACAGG
rnacentral:rRNA from 1 species